AUGGCCGGAGCUUGGGCCGUGGAUAAUCUAAGAAAGCAGAUUGACACCGCCUCCCUUCGUCGGCAGAGGUUCCUAGGUCGGCGGCGCCGCCACCGGCCACCGCUCGCUACCUCCGUCGCGGGCGCGGCAGAUCCUGCUGCCAGAUCGCCGUUCCCACUUCAUCUCGUUCGCGGCACGGCACUGCCGGCUUAUCUUGACUAUCUGGCUCGUCGGGAGGUCGCCGCCGCCGUGCCGUGCCGAUCUGCCACGGCGGAAGGUCACCGCCGACGCUUCCUCCUCGUAUCAGGUCUCACUCUGCUGCUCGAGAUGCGGACGGUGGCUAGCCUUACCGACGACCUCCUUGUCGCGAUCCUCUCCCGUCUCCCCGUCAAGUCGCUCCGCCGCUGCAUGUGCGUCUCCAGGACCUGGCGGGGCAUCAUCUCGCACCCGCACAACCAAAGGCAGCUGCCGCAGACCCUCGAGGGCUUCUUCUACGUGCCCCGCAGCGAGCCGGCGCCAGCUCCCAGUUUCACCAACGUCACCGGGACAGUCCGCCCUCUGGUCUCUCCUCUCUUUGAUUUCCUGCCGCAGCACCAGAGCAUCUUCCUGCUGUCCUGCUGCAACGGCCUCCUCCUCUGCCGCUGCUGGGAAGGCCAGGACGACUUCCAUUACGUCGUGUGCAAUCCAGCCACGGAGGAGUGGGUCCGGUUGCCCGACUCGAUCAAUGCCGGCACCGAGUGCAUGGCACGUCUGGGUUUUGACCCAGCUGUGUCGGAUCACUUCCAUGUGUUUGAGUUCUCCGAGGAUCACGACAUCAGCCAACCCGGAAUGGAGGUGUAUUCCUCUGAAACAGGGGAAUGGGUUCACAAGGAGAACGGAUGGAUUGAUACGGAAGAUGAUGAAGCAUUUGUUUCCCUUGUUGGUCAUCACUCGGGAGAUGUGUUUCUUAACGGCUGUCUGCAUUUUCUCACCAUGGAUGAUGAUAUAGCCGUGGUGGACACCGAGGGGAAAACAUGGAGGAAGAUACCUAUCCCUGAACUUUGCACUGUUGGUCUCAUUCAGAAAUCUCAGGGUUCUUUGCAUUUUGUCAGUUUUCUUGAAACUGAUGAAAGUAUGGUUGAACUGGUGGUUUAUGUUCUUGAGAACUACCGCAGUCAAGAAUGGAUAUUGAAGCAUAGCACCGACGCUUCAUAUAUAUUUGGAGAGAGAGAGAUUGAUCUUAUACAGGGUUUUCAGUGGGUUGCAAUGCAUCCAGACUGUAACAUCAUCUUCUUAACUGUGGGGUGGGAUAAUACAUUGGUCUCUUAUGAUAUGGAUCAUCACAAAAUUCAAGAGAUCUGUGAUCUUGGAGGAGACGACAAUCCGCGAUAUCUGCCAUAUGUGCCAUUGUACUCUGAGUUACAAACUCUGCACGCAUGA
rnacentral:rRNA from 1 species